rnacentral:rRNA from 1 species
AUUGAACGCUGGCGGCAGGCCUAACACAUGCAAGUCGAGCGGCAGCGGAAAGUAGCUUGCUACUUUGCCGACGAGCGGCGGACGGGUGAGUAAUGUCUGGGAAACUGCCUGAUGGAGGGGGAUAACUACUGGAAACGGUAGCUAAUACCGCAUAACGUCGCAAGACCAAAGAGGGGGACCUUCGGGCCUCUUGCCAUCAGAUGUGCCCAGAUGGGAUUAGCUAGUAGGUGGGGUAACGGCUCACCUAGGCGACGAUCCCUAGCUGGUCUGAGGGGAUGACCAGCCAAACUGGAACUGAGACACGGUCCAGACUCCUACGGGAGGCAGCAGUGGGGAAUAUUGCACAAUGGGCGCAAGCCUGAUGCAGCCAUGCCGCGUGUAUGAAGAAGGCCUUCGGGUUGUAAAGUACUUUCAGCGGGGAGGAAGGUGCUGAGGUUAAUAACCUCAGCAAUUGACGUUACCCGCAGAAGAAGCGCCGGCUAACUCCGUGCCAGCCGCCGCCGUAACAC